rnacentral:rRNA from 2 species
GGGUUGUGAGGUUAAGCGACUAAGCGUACACGGUGGAUGCCCUGGCAGUCAGAGGCGAUGAAGGACGUGCUAAUCUGCGAAAAGCGCCGGCGAGGUGAUAUGAACCUUUGACCCGGCGAUGUCCGAAUGGGGAAACCCAGUGUGUUCCGACACACUAUCGUUAACUGAAUACAUAGGUUAACGAGGCGAACCGGGGGAACUGAAACAUCUAAGUACCCCGAGGAAAAGAAAUCAACCGAGAUUCCCCCAGUAGCGGCGAGCGAACGGGGAGCAGCCCAGAGUCUGAAUCAGCUUGUGUGUUAGUGGAAGCGUCUGGAAAGUCGCACGGUACAGGGUGACAGUCCCGUACACGAAAGCACACAGGCUGUGAACUCGAAGAGUAGGGCGGGACACGUGGUAUCCUGUCUGAAUAUGGGGGGACCAUCCUCCAAGGCUAAAUACUCCUGACUGACCGAUAGUGAACCAGUACCGUGAGGGAAAGGCGAAAAGAACCCCGGCGAGGGGAGUGAAAAAGAACCUGAAACCGUGUACGUACAAGCAGUGGGAGCCUCUUUUAUGGGGUGACUGCGUACCUUUUGUAUAAUGGGUCAGCGACUUAUAUUCUGUAGCAAGGUUAACCGUAUAGGGGAGCCGAAGGGAAACCGAGUCUUAACUGGGCGUUAAGUUGCAGGGUAUAGACCCGAAACCCGGUGAUCUAGCCAUGGGCAGGUUGAAGGUUGGGUAACACUAACUGGAGGACCGAACCGACUAAUGUUGAAAAAUUAGCGGAUGACUUGUGGCUGGGGGUGAAAGGCCAAUCAAACCGGGAGAUAGCUGGUUCUCCCCGAAAGCUAUUUAGGUAGCGCCUCGUGAACUCAUCUUCGGGGGUAGAGCACUGUUUCGGCUAGGGGGCCAUCCCGGCUUACCAACCCGAUGCAAACUACGAAUACCGAAGAAUGUUAUCACGGGAGACACACGGCGGGUGCUAACGUCCGUCGUGAAGAGGGAAACAACCCAGACCGCCAGCUAAGGUCCCAAAGUCAUGGUUAAGUGGGAAACGAUGUGGGAAGGCACAGACAGCCAGGAUGUUGGCUUAGAAGCAGCCAUCAUUUAAAGAAAGCGUAAUAGCUCACUGGUCGAGUCGGCCUGCGCGGAAGAUGUAACGGGGCUAAACCAUGCACCGAAGCUGCGGCAGCGACACUAUGUGUUGUUGGGUAGGGGAGCGUUCUGUAAGCCGUUGAAGGUGUCCUGUGAGGGGUGCUGGAGGUAUCAGAAGUGCGAAUGCUGACAUAAGUAACGAUAAAGCGGGUGAAAAGCCCGCUCGCCGGAAGACCAAGGGUUCCUGUCCAACGUUAAUCGGGGCAGGGUGAGUCGACCCCUAAGGCGAGGCCGAAAGGCGUAGUCGAUGGGAAACAGGUUAAUAUUCCUGUACUUGGUGUUACUGCGAAGGGGGGACGGAGAAGGCUAUGUUAGCCGGGCGACGGUUGUCCCGGUUUAAGCAUGUAGGCGGAGGUUCCAGGUAAAUCCGGUUCCUUGUUAACGCUGAGGUGUGAUGACGAGGCACUACGGUGCUGAAGUAACAAAUGCCCUGCUUCCAGGAAAAGCCUCUAAGCAUCAGGUAACAUCAAAUCGUACCCCAAACCGACACAGGUGGUCAGGUAGAGAAUACCAAGGCGCUUGAGAGAACUCGGGUGAAGGAACUAGGCAAAAUGGUGCCGUAACUUCGGGAGAAGGCACGCUGAUAUGUAGGUGAAGCCCCUGCGGGUGGAGCUGAAAUCAGUCGAAGAUACCAGCUGGCUGCAACUGUUUAUUAAAAACACAGCACUGUGCAAACACGAAAGUGGACGUAUACGGUGUGACGCCUGCCCGGUGCCGGAAGGUUAAUUGAUGGGGUUAGCGGUAACGCGAAGCUCUUGAUCGAAGCCCCGGUAAACGGCGGCCGUAACUAUAACGGUCCUAAGGUAGCGAAAUUCCUUGUCGGGUAAGUUCCGACCUGCACGAAUGGCGUAAUGAUGGCCAGGCUGUCUCCACCCGAGACUCAGUGAAAUUGAACUCGCUGUGAAGAUGCAGUGUACCCGCGGCAAGACGGAAAGACCCCGUGAACCUUUACUAUAGCUUGACACUGAACACUGGUCCUUGAUGUGUAGGAUAGGUGGGAGGCUUUGAAGCGUGGACGCCAGUCUGCGUGGAGCCAACCUUGAAAUACCACCCUUUAAUGGCUGGUGUUCUAACGUAGACCCGUGAUCCGGGUUGCGGACAGUGUCUGGUGGGUAGUUUGACUGGGGCGGUCUCCUCCCAAAGAGUAACGGAGGAGCACGAAGGUUAGCUAAUCCUGGUCGGACAUCAGGAGGUUAGUGCAAUGGCAUAAGCUAGCUUGACUGCGAGAGUGACGGCUCGAGCAGGUGCGAAAGCAGGUCAUAGUGAUCCGGUGGUUCUGAAUGGAAGGGCCAUCGCUCAACGGAUAAAAGGUACUCCGGGGAUAACAGGCUGAUACCGCCCAAGAGUUCAUAUCGACGGCGGUGUUUGGCACCUCGAUGUCGGCUCAUCACAUCCUGGGGCUGAAGUAGGUCCCAAGGGUAUGGCUGUUCGCCAUUUAAAGUGGUACGCGAGCUGGGUUUAGAACGUCGUGAGACAGUUCGGUCCCUAUCUGCCGUGGGCGCUGGAGAAUUGAGGGGGGCUGCUCCUAGUACGAGAGGACCGGAGUGGACGCAUCACUGGUGUUCGGGUUGUCAUGCCAAUGGCACUGCCCGGUAGCUAAAUGCGGAAGAGAUAAGUGCUGAAAGCAUCUAAGCACGAAACUUGCCCCGAGAUGAGUUCUCCCUGAGACUUUAAGUCUCCUGAAGGAACGUUGAAGACUACGACGUUGAUAGGUCGGGUGUGUAAGCGCAGCGAUGCGUUGAGCUAACCGAUACUAAUGAACCGUGAGGCUUAACCUUACAACGCCGAAGGUGUUU